AACGAACGCUGGCGGCAUGCCUAACACAUGCAAGUCGAACGAAGGCUUCGGCCUUAGUGGCGCACGGGUGCGUAACGCGUGGGAAUCUGCCCUUUGGUUCGGAAUAACAGCUGGAAACGGCUGCUAAUACCGGAUGAUGACGAAAGUCCAAAGAUUUAUCGCCAGAGGAUGAGCCCGCGUUGGAUUAGGUAGUUGGUGGGGUAAAGGCCUACCAAGCCGACGAUCCAUAGCUGGUCUGAGAGGAUGAUCAGCCACACUGGGACUGAGACACGGCCCAGACUCCUACGGGAGGCAGGAGUGGGGAAUAUUGGACAAUGGGGGCAAGCCUGAUCCAGCAAUGCCGCGUGAGUGAUGAAGGCCCUAGGGUUGUAAAGCUCUUUUACCCGGGAAGAUAAUGACUGUACCGGGAGAAUAAGCCCCGGCUAACUCCGUG
rnacentral:rRNA from 1 species